rnacentral:tRNA from 1 species
GAGAAAUAUACAUUUUGGUAUUGUAAUCGUCCUGUAAAGACGAUGGGUUUAUCCCAUUUUGGGUUCGAAUCCCAAAUUUCUCA